ACCAUUUCUUCACUCACCGACAGAAAGAGGCGGAUCAUUUGGGUCACAGGAGAAAGAUGAAGAGCCAAAGCAGUUAUGCCCCACCGGAGUACAUUCCUUUAGGAAUGUCGGAUUCUGAAUCGGCAAUUGUUUUGCGAAAUGAAGAGCCUCCCAAGCAGCAAAACAGUGUUGAUGAGCCUGUACAAUGGUCUUCUGGAAUCUGCGCAUGCUGUGACGAUAUGCAGAGCUGUACGCUACUUUCUGCCUUGUGACCUUGAUUUAUCAGAAGGAAAAAAAAUGAAGGUUGUAUGGGUCUAUUUUGUCCUUGCUUUUUAUUUGGAAAGAAUGCAGAAUUUCUGGGUUCUGGGACAUUCAUAGGAUCAUGCAUGAUGCAUUUUAUUUUGUGGGCACUCGUUAAUACCGUCUGCUGCUUAUUGACUGAGGGUCUUGUUUUGGGAGUACCGGGAUGCUUUGUUGCAUGUUAUGCUUGUGGCUACCGCAGGACCCUAAGAUCAAAGUAUAAUCUUCAGGAAGCACCAUGUGGAGACUUUGUCACUCAUUUUUUCUGCCAUUUGUGUGCCAUUUGUCAAGAGUACAGGGAGAUCCGAGAAAAAUCUGCUGAUUCUGGCUUUCCUGACCUGAGUCUGGCCGUAGUUACAGCCCCACCAGUCCAGACAAUGGAACCGGGUCUUGAAGAGUAAACCACUGUUUUUGUACUCAUGCAGGAUCAGCAUUUGGUCUAGGUUAUGCAACCUUCAUCAUGCCCCUCAGUGGAUAUUGUUAGUGAAGCUCUCCACAAUUUAUUUUGUCUUUUAAGUUCUUUGGUGUAGUCUAUACCAGGGUUGAUUUAAUUAUGCUAUCAGUCCUAUGGUGUGCUUGUUUCAGUGGUUCUGCUUCAACCUGCAACCUAUGCGGCUUUUCCAUAUGAAAGUACAUGAUGAAUUUUAUGAAAUGAAAAAGAAAACAGGAGUUGAAAAACA